rnacentral:rRNA from 1 species
UACGUAGGGCGCAAGCGUUGUCCGGAAUCAUUGGGCGUAAAGCGCGCGUAGGUGGCUUCGUAAGUCCGUUGUGAAAGUCAAAGGCUCAACCUUUGAAAGCCGAUGGAUACUGUGAAGCUAGAGUACGGAAGAGGCGAGUGGAAUUCCUGGUGUAGCGGUGGAAUGCGCAGAUAUCAGGAGGAACACCAAUAGCGAAGGCAGCUCGCUGGGACGUUACUGACACUGAGGCGCGAAAGCGUGGGGAGCGAACAGG